rnacentral:misc_RNA from 1 species
AAGUCGUAACAAGGUAACCGUAGGUGAACCUGCGGUUGGAUCAUUAAAAAAUUAUUUUAAUGAAAGAUGAAUAGAUGUUUGAUGUGUUUGAAAGUUUCUUUCUUUCUUCCAUCUUCUCUAUUUUCUUUUCAACACCAUUUGUGAACUGGUUGAUCUUCUCUUUGGUGUGGCUUUAUUUAGUUAAACCACACCAAGAUUUAGACUCAAUUACCUUUUUUGGACAAUACCUUUUUUUAAUUACCAAUUAAAAAAAAACAACUUUUGACAACGGAUCUCUUGGCUCUU